GGCUUGAAAAGGCAAACUCAUCGAAAGAUGAGGACGCAAAACCAAAGGUUUAAGUCUCGGAGGUUAGAGAUAUGACGGCUUGGUUGCCAAG
rnacentral:ncRNA from 1 species